GAUGAACGCUGGCGGCGUGCUUAACACAUGCAAGUCGAACGGAAAGGCUCCUGCUUGCAGGGGUACUCGAGUGGCGAACGGGUGAGUAACAAGUGGGUGAUCUGCCCUGCACUUCGGGAUAAGCCUGGGAAACUGGGUCUAAUACCGGAUAGGACGAUGGUUUGGAUGCCAUUGUGGAAAGUUUUUUCGGUGUGGGAUGAGCUCGCGGCCUAUCAGCUUGUUGGUGGGGUAAUGGCCUACCAAGGCGUCGACGGGUAGCCGGCCUGAGAGGGUGUACGGCCACAUUGGGACUGAGAUACGGCCCAGACUCCUACGGGAGGCAGCAGUGGGGAAUAUUGCACAAUGGGCGCAAGCCUGAUGCAGCGACGCCGCGUGGGGGAUGACGGCCUUCGGGUUGUAAACUCCUUUCGCUAGGGACGAAGCGCAAGUGACGGUACCUGGAGAAGAAGCACCGGCUAACUACGUG
rnacentral:rRNA from 1 species